UUUUUUUGAAUUUCUUUUUAUUUUCUGUUUUUUUCAUUUAAUCUCUUUAUUUGUUUAAUUCAUAUUAAUUUCAUUUUUAAUCCCAAAAAUAUGGGACUUUCACCAGAAAUCUUCAAAUAUUUUUCUCUUCCAUAUUCUAAAUUAAAAUUAUUUUUUUGGAUUAAUUUUGAUAUUUUUCAUGAAUUAAAUGUUUUUUUUGCAUAUUUUUAAUUGUAUAAAAAUACU
rnacentral:lncRNA from 1 species